CCUACGGGAGGCAGCAGUGAGGAAUCUUGGACAAUGGGCGCGAGCCUGAACCAGCAAAGUAGCGUGAAGGAUGACUGCCCUACGGGUUGUAAACUUCUUUUAUAAAGGAAUAAAGUGAGGCACGUGUGCCUUUUUGUAUGUACUUUAUGAAUAAGGAUCGGCUAACUCCGUGCCAGCAGCCGCGGUACUACGGAGGAUACGAGCGUUAUCCGGAUUUGUUGGGUUUAAAGGGAGCGUAGAGGGGUUGUUAAGUCAGUUGUGAAAGUUUGCGGCUCAACCGUAAAAUUGCAAUUGAUACUGGCAGCCUUGAGUACAGUUGAGGUAGGCGGAAUUCGUGGUGUAGCGGUGAAAUGCUUAGAUAUCACGAAGAACUCCGAUUGCGAAGGCAGCCUACUAAACUGCCACUGACAUUGAUGCUCGAAAGUGUGGGUAUCAAACAGGAUUAGAUACCCCAGUAGUC
rnacentral:rRNA from 1 species